UACGUAGGGGGCAAGCGUUGUCCGGAUUCAUUGGGCGUAAAGAGCGUGUAGGCGGCCAGGUAGGUCGGUUAUGAAAACUGGAGGCUCAACCUUCAGACGUCGACCGAAACCAUCUGGCUAGAGUCCGGGAGAGGAGAGUGGAAUUCCUGGUGUAGCGGUGAAAUGCGCAGAUAUCAGGAAGAACACCCGUGGCGAAAGCGGCUCUCUGGAACGGUACUGACGCUGAGACGCGAAAGCGUGGGGAGCGAACAGG
rnacentral:rRNA from 1 species